rnacentral:rRNA from 1 species
GCCACCCUCUAGCCCAACCACCUAUGAAUAGACCAACAGACACAACCUAUCUACCUCAUCAAACUAAACCAUUCUCUCGGCCUAGUAUAGGCGAUAGAAAGGCCCACUCCCGGCGCCAUAGAGCCCCAGUACCGUAAGGGAAAGAUGAAAUAGUAAUGAAAAGCCUAAAGUAAUAAACAGCAAAGAUCAACCCUUGUACCUCUUGCAUCAUGGUCUAGCAAGAAGAACCAAGCAAAAUGGAUUAAAGCUUGCCACCCCGAAACCUAAGCGAGCUACUUGCAAGCAGCUACCUAUGAGCCAACCCGUCUCUGUCGCAAAAGAGUGGGAUGACUUGCUAGUAGAGGUGAAAAGCCAAUCGAGCUAGGUGAUAGCUGGUUGCCUGCAAGCCGAAUCCCAGUUCGUCCUUGAUAGUUCCCCAAAGCCCGACCCAAAGCCCCAUGUCGCUAUCAAGAAAUAUUUAAAGGAGGUACAGCUCCCUUAAAGACAGAAGACAGUCUCCCCUAGCGGAUAACUCACCUCUCCCACUCACCCCUUCCCUCGUAGGCCUUAAAGCAGCCACCAACUAAGAAUGCGUCAAAGCUCCUACCACAAAAAUCCCCAAACCACAAGACUCCCUUCACAUUAGCAGGCCAACCUACAUUCAGUAGAAGUACCAAUGCUAGAAUAAGUAACCAGGGCCCGCCCCUCUAAAGCACAACCUUACAUUCUCCCAUUAUUAACAAGCCUCCAUACUUAAAUUGCAACAAGACUGGGUAUUGGCUGUAUUGUUAAACCGACUCAGGAGUGCCUCAUAGAAAGAUUUAAAUCUGUAGAAGGAACUAGGCAAAUCCAAGGCCCGACUGUUUACCAAAAACAUAGCCUUCAGCCCUCCAAGUAUUGAAGGUGAUGCCUGCCCAGUGACAUCCGUUCAACGGCCGCGGUAUCCUAACCGUGCAAAGGUAGCGCAAUCAAUUGUCUCAUAAAUUGAGACCUGUAUGAAUGGCUUAACGAGGUCUUAACUGUCUCCUACAGAUAAUCGGUGAAAUUGAUCUCCCUGUGCAAAAGCAGGGAUCCUAGCAUAAGACGAGAAGACCCUGUGGAACUUAAAAAUCAAGGACCACUACAUACUACACCUAAACCUACCAGGCCCACUUCACCGUAAACUGGUCCAUAUUUUUCGGUUGGGGCGACCUUGGAGAAAAAGAAACCCUCCAAAGACAGGACUAUCCCCCCUCCUAACCAAGAAAAACACUUCAACGUGCUAAUAGCAACCAGACCCAGCGCAACUGAUCAAUGAACCAAGCUACCCCAGGGAUAACAGCGCAAUCUCCCCCAAGAGCCCAUAUCGACAGGGAGGUUUACGACCUCGAUGUUGGAUCAGGACAUCCUAAUGGUGCAGCCGCUAUUAAGGGUUCGUUUGUUCAACGAUUAACAGUCCUACGUGAUCUGAGUUCAGACCGGAGCAAUCCAGGUCGGUUUCUAUCUAUGAUUGACUCUUCCCUAGUACGAAAGGACCGGGAAGAUAGGGCCAAUAUUCCAAGCAUGCCCUCCCCUUAAGUACUGCCCUCAACUAAACUACUAAAGGGAUCAACACACCCCUCC